CUACGUGACGUACAGAUCCGCGACAAAUACAAAGUUUCGCUGUCCACUCAGACAGUCUCCUUUGUAUUUGCACGGCGUACCAAUAAUACAUCAGGAUCUCAACAACAAUCUACAUUUACCAAUCUACAAAUAGUUCAUGCGAUGCUUUUCCAUACAGCUAGUGAUCCUUAGAGAUGAUGCAUGCCUCUAAACACUCCUUAGGUGCUGGAUGAUGCAAUACACAGUACAACAAUCAUCCUAUUUAAAAGUGCUCCCCACUUAGAAGCUUUGUUUUUAAAAUCUACAUAAUUAUACAUUCGAAAACUUUUUAAAACUGUUUCCCAUACAGAAACUUCACUUUUGAAAACGAACUACCUCGAGGGAUAGAAAACCACAAAAUAUAAAUACACAAAUCCGAGAACCAAUUAUUCAUAAAACUAAAACCACAAAUCUAAAAUCUCCAAUCGUAUGCAUAAUGGAAAUCACCAACUCAAACAAUUCACGAAUAUUCAAACAUCAAUAAUAAUCAUCUAACUGAACCAUUUAAUUAUUAAAACUACUAAGUGCGGAAAUGAAAUAUAACCAGGGUGACGGUUGUUACUGCAGU
rnacentral:lncRNA from 1 species